GUCCUUGGUUAUGUCACCAAAUUUCAGUUCUUUGGGUGCACUUGGGCGAGCUGAAAAAAAGGUAGUCCAAAAUCAAUAUCGGUAAUAGAUUGAACCAAUAUUUGUUAAUACUGUCAAAUCACCAUAUGUAACAAAAGUUUAGUUCCUUACCAAUCACAUUGACGUCAAUUUCCCCAGAAAUUGCUUUUACGGGAUUUUCUAAUUUCAGUGUAUAAAUGCCCUUGUCUGGACGUUCACUUGGAGAAAUGACAAGUUCAGCAUAGGCAGAUAAGGUUUUCAUUUUCACACGGUCCCCUGCUUCUAGUACUUUAUCUCCAAAAGACCAGGUUGCAGUUGGCCUUGGAUAGCCUGUACUUGGAACCAGGAUCUUGAUAGGAUUUGGGACAAUAACUUCUAGACCAUCUUUAAAUGCACUUAAGUCCAUUGUUGGUUCAGCUACCAAAAAGAAAAAUUAAUGAGUCUCCAGCACUAUAUUUAAGGCUAUUAAGCUAUAUUAAGCUAUUAAGCUAUAUUAAGCUAUUAAAUCUAAAAAUAAAAUAUCCACUUACCAAA
rnacentral:lncRNA from 1 species